UUGAAAGAGGGUUAAAUAGUACGUGAAAUUGUUGAAAGGGAAGCGCUUGUGACCAGACUUGGGCGCGGCGGAUCAUCCGGGGUUCUCCCCGGUGCACUUCGCCGCGUCCAGGCCAGCAUCAGUUCGUCGCGGGGGAAAAAGGCUUCGGGAACGUGGCUCCCUCGGGAGUGUUAUAGCCCGUUGCGUAAUACCCUGCGGUGGACUGAGGACCGCGCAUCUGCAAGGAUGCUGGCGUAAUGGUCACCAGCGACCCGUCUUGAAACACGGACCAAGACGCUGGGUCGUUG
rnacentral:rRNA from 1 species